rnacentral:rRNA from 1 species
GAUGGUUAGCUGGUCUGAGAGGAUGAUCAGCCACACUGGAACUGGAACACGGUCCAGACUCCUACGGGAGGCAGCAGUGAGGAAUUUUGCGCAAUGGGGGAAACCCUGACGCAGCAACGCCGCGUGAGUGAAGAAGGCCCUUGGGUCGUAAAGCUCUGUCGACAGGGAAGAAAUUGCAUCAUAUUAAUAGUAUGUAGCAUUGACGGUACCUGUAGAGGAAGCACCGGCUAACUCCGUGCCAGCAGCCGCGGUAAUACGGGGGGUGCAAGCGUUAUUCGGAAUUAUUGGGCGUAAAGGGCGCGUAGGCGGUCUUGUCGGUCAGAUGUGAAAGCCCGGGGCUCAACCCUGGAAGUGCAUUUGAAACAGCAAGACUUGAAUACUGGAGAGGAGAGCGGAAUUCCUGGUGUAGAGGUGAAAUUCGUAGAUAUCAGGAGGAACACCGAUGGCGAAGGCAGCUCUCUGGACAGAUAUUGACGCUGAGGCGCGAAGGUGUGGGUAGCGAACAGGAUUAGAUACCCUGGUAGUCCACACAGUAAACGUUGUUCACUCGGUGUGUCGGAUAUUAAAAUCUGAUGUGCCCAAGCUAACGUGGUAAGUGAACCGCCUGGGGAGUACGGUCGCGAGACUAAAACUCAAAGGAAUUGACGGGGGCCCGCACAAGCGGUGGAGCAUGUGGUUUAAUUCGACAACGCGAAGAACCUUACCUGGAUUUGACAUCCUGUGAAUCCCUCAGAGACGAGGGAGUGCCUUCGGGAACACAGUGACAGGUGCUGCAUUGCUGUCGUCAGCUCGUGUCGUGAGAUGUUUGGUUAAGUCCAGCAACGAGCGCAACCCUUAUCGUUAGUUGCCAGCACGUAAUGGUGGGAACUCUAGCGAGACUGCCCCGGUUAACGGGGAGGAAGGUGGGGAUGACGUCAAGUCCUCAUGGCCCUUAUAUCCAGGGCUACACACGUGCUACAAUGGUAAGUACAGAGGGCAGCAAGCCAGUGAUGGUUAGCUAAUCCCUAAAGCUUAUCUCAGUCCGGAUUGGAGUCUGCAACUCGACUCCAUGAAGUUGGAAUCGCUAGUAAUCGCGGAUCAGCAUGCCGCGGUGAAUAUGUUCCCGGGCCUUGUACACACCGCCCGUCACACCAUGAGAGUUGAUUAUACCCGACGUCGUUGGGCUAACCCUUCGGGGAGGCAGGCGCCUAAGGUAUGGUUGAUAAUUGGGGUGAAGUCGUAACAAGGUA